AUGCCUCCUGAGAAGGAAGAAAUGUUGAAUUCUGCACUAAGCCGGGCUGAUGCCUUAGAACAAGAGCUUAUGGCAACCAAAAAGGCUCUAGAGGACUCAUUUGCUCAGCAGCAGGAGCUCGCGGACUAUAUCGAAAAAGGAAGAAGAAGAAGAGGACUUUAUUGUUUUGGUGAAUGAUGAGACGCCGUAAGCUGACAGAUGCCGAGGAAAUAGGCGGUGGAACAAUUUGUUUCUCAGCAAGGCCAAGCCACCCCACACUCUCCAAAUGCACUCUGGUCAUCUAACAUUGCUCUCAUAAGAUGCCAAUCUAAAAGUUUUGGUUUGUUCAUUAAAUUGGCCUGCAAGGACCAAUGUACAUAUAUUAUACCUGUCACCAUGCAUGAGUCCGACCUUCUUCUAUUGUUUUUUUUUAUCUGCCUGGUUUAGAAACCAGGGCUUUCAAAGCAAGGAAAUGGAAAUCCCCUAGAAACAUGCAGGGGAGUUUAAUUUUUGUCAGUGUUAAUCUAAAUACUAUUCUUUUAUUGAAGUUAAUAUACAUAUUUACUUCCUAUUC